GAUUAGUCUCGUUGGUGACCAGCGGAGGGUCAUUACCGAGUUUACAACUCCCAAACCCAAUGUGAACCAUACCAAACUGUUGCCUCGGCGGGGUCACGCCCCGGGUGCGUCGCAGCCCCGGAACCAGGCGCCCGCCGGAGGGACCAACCAAACUCUUUCUGUAGUCCCCUCGCGGACGUUAUUUCUUACAGCUCUGAGCAAAAAUUCAAAAUGAAUCAAAACUUUCAACAACGGAUCUCUUGGUUCUGGCAUCGAUGAAGAACGCAGCGAAAUGCGAUAAGUAAUGUGAAUUGCAGAAUUCAGUGAAUCAUCGAAUCUUUGAACGCACAUUGCGCCCGCCAGUAUUCUGGCGGGCAUGCCUGUCCGAGCGUCAUUUCAACCCUCGAACCCCUCCGGGGGGUCGGCGUUGGGGAUCGGGAACCCCUAAGACGGGAUCCCGGCCCCGAAAUACAGUGGCGGUCUCGCCGCAGCCUCUCCUGCGCAGUAGUUUGCACAACUCGCACCGGGAGCGCGGCGCGUCCACGUCCGUAAAACACCCAACUUCUGAAAUGUUGACCUCGGAUCAGGUAGGAAUACCCGCUGAACUUAAGCAUUAA
rnacentral:rRNA from 1 species